rnacentral:other from 1 species
UGUCCCCUGCGGUGUUCGUCAGGCUGUAAUUCUUUGAGCCAAUGUUAACUAUGUUGGUUGCUGCCUAAAGUAGCGCUGUUGUGCGCGUCCUAAGCGGGAAGCGCCUGAUGUGCUCGGAAAGCGACCGCCUUGAACCCUAGGUUCAAGAUGCCGGCUUGACGGAAAUCGCGGGGGGCAC